UAUGGCUGCGUCCGAAAUCGCGUACUAUGUGAGUAGGUACUACAUUUAAAAAAGAACGUACUCCGCGACCGUUAAAAAAGUACGUUCUAUAUAGUAUGAAUACGGGUAGUAUGGAUGAAUUCCGGACGUACUACAUGCGACAUGUUGGAAAUGUCACGUGUCAUGCGCUGCCGCUGUCAUAACAGCGCGGAAAUUUAAAGAGCCCACCUUCGCGCUGUUUUGCUUUGUUUUCAUCUGCGUUUUUCCAGCUGGUCGUAGAUCAUGCCUUCAUCGAGAGCUUUUGCGGAUUUUCUCAAAUAACAUUGUGAGCCCUACAACCUACUGCCACGUGAAUGCUGCUGUGCCAAUCCUUCGGCCGGGGUGGAGGAGCGGACCGGGGUGGAGGUCAGCUCCAUCUUCAAAGUGCAGCCGAAGAAUUGGCACAGCAGCCUCCCGACUUUCACGGCAGUCCAUCCAGUCCCUGAUUGCUGUAGUGAAAGCAGAUUGCAACCAUGGGUGGGAAAAGGACGUCGAGGUGCUGGUGUUCCUUUACUGGCUGGCCCAUGCAGCAUCAUACCGGGUAGUGUCACUCGUCUAUGACAUCCCGUAGUCUGCUGUGCACGACAUUAUGCACAGAAUGAGCAAGGCAGUCAUCGGCACUUUGAGACAGGUUAUCGCUUUCCCCAGUGCAGAUGACCAGGAGGCAGUGGGAGCAGGUUUUACCCAGCUGGCAGGGUCUCCAGCUGUCAGUGUAGUAGCUGGUGCAAUAAAUGGCUGUCACAUCCGCAUCAAACCACUAGCAAGUGACGUCCAGUGCUACUUCAACCAGAAAGCUGUUUAAUUAUUUUCAGCUGCAGGCCAUCACUGACCACAAGGGGAAGUUCCUCGACAUUUUUGUUGGGUAUCUUGGGUCGGUGCACGAUGCCCGGGUGCUGAAGAACAGCCCUGUGUGCACUGGCCGCCUGUUUCCAUCUGCAGGAUAGUGCAUCCUUGGAGAUGGUGGGUAUCCUUGCCUCGUCUUGUAAA